rnacentral:rRNA from 1 species
GACGAACGCUGGCGGCGUGCCUAAUACAUGCAAGUCGAGCGGGCCUCCGGAGGUGCUUGCACCUCCGGAAGGCCAGCGGCGGACGGGUGAGUAACACGUGGGCAACCUGCCUUUGAGGCCGGGAUAACACCGGGAAACCGGUGCUAAUACCGGAUACGUCCUCUUUCGCGCCUGCGAGAGGGGAGAAAGACGGUCUUUAAGGCCGUCGCUCAAAGAGGGGCCCGCGGCGCAUUAGCUGGUUGGUGGGGUAAGGGCCUACCAAGGCGACGAUGCGUUGCCGACCUGGGAGGGUGAUCGGCCACACUGGGACUGAGACACGGCCCAGGCUCCUGCGGGAGGCAGCAGUAGGGAAUCAUCCGCAAUGGGCGAAAGCCUGACGGUGCAACGCCGGGUGAGUGAGGAAGGUUUUCGGAUCGUAAAGCUCUGUUGUGAGGGAAGAACAGCUUCCGGAGGAAAUGCCGGAGGUUUGCCGGUACCUCACCAGAAAGCCCCGGCUAACUACGUGCCAGCCGCCGCCGUAAAAC